GACGGAGGGUGCUAGCGUUGUUCGGAUUCACUGGGCGUAAAGGGUGCGUAGGUGGUGGGGAAAGUCGGAUGUGAAAUCUCCAAGCUCAACUUGGAAAUGGCAUUGGAAACUACCUUGCUGGAGGUUUGGAGGGGGGACUGGAAUACUUGGUGUAGCAGUGAAAUGCGUAGAUAUCAAGUGGAACACCAGUGGCGAAGGCGAGUCCCUGGACAACACCUGACACUGAGGCACGAAAGCUAGGGGAGCAAACAGG
rnacentral:rRNA from 1 species